GCGACAGUAGCUCACUGGUAGAGCCGCCGAUUCAUGUUCGGGGAGACCCGGGUUCGAUUCCCGGUUGCUUCC
rfam:Toxocara canis C1950975, whole genome shotgun sequence.